GAUGAACGCUGGCGGCGUGCCUAAUACAUGCAAGUCGAGCGAACGGACGCUAAUCUUGCUUCUCUGAUGUUAGCGGCGGACGGGUGAGUAACACGUGUAUAACCUACCUAUCAGACUGGGAUAACUUCGGGAAACCGUAGCUAAUACCGUAUAAUCUUUUGAACCGCAUUGUUCAAAAGUGAAAUACGGUCUUGCUGUCACUUAUCGAUGCAUCCGCGCUGCAUUAGCUAGUUGUUAAGGUAACGGCUUACCAAGGCAAGGAUGCAUAGACGACCUGAGAGGGGGAUAGGCGACACGGGAGCGGGGACAGGGUCAAGAGGACUAAGGGAGGCAGCAGUAGGGAAUCGGCCGCAAUGGGCGAAAGCAUGACGGAGCAACGCCGAGUGAGUGAUGAAGGUCUUCGGAGCGGAAAACUCGGUUAUGAGGGAAGAACAUAUGUGGAAGUAACUGAGGAGAGAGUGACGGUAACUAAUCAGAAAGCCACGGCUAACUACGUG
rnacentral:rRNA from 1 species